AUGAUGGAGCGGCUGAGAGCCCUUCGAGGUCUCUUUGCCUGUGUGGGCUGCAUGCCCAGACCUACACGUCGCAGGGAGAGAGGCAGGGUGGAAAGCCCUGUCCCCACCUGUGCCGUGACUUUACUGCUGCAGCGCCUGCAAGACCAGGAGGGUGACCGAGCGCAGGCGUACUGCGAGCUGGAGCACGUCCUGUGGGAAGGUGACAGCCGCCCGCCGUGCGGAGUGGUGAACCGGCUGCUGGCAGAGGUGUCCCAGGACCUGACAGCAGCCCAGGGCGUGACGGACAGCGUGAGGACGGCUGCCAGCAAUGUCCUGGUGGCUCUGGCCCGGACACACUUCAGCUUGGUGAUGGCCGAGCUCCAGGGCCACCUGAAGGCCACACGGGAGAUGUCUAAGGACUUUGUGCUCUUGACCCUGGGCAAACUCUUCAGCACCUAUGCUCCACAGUGCAUCUCCUUUGUGUGGCUGACGCUGGCUGGCCUGCGCAGUCUGGUGGGCCAGGUGAGGAGCGGCCAAACCCUGCGCAUUGCUUGUGCUGUUGUGAAACAAUGGAUGGACGGCGUCAAGAUUCACAUGUCCUCCAGAAAGCAAUGUCCCUGGCCUGCCACAGAGAAGGAACAAAUCUAUGAGAAUCUUGAUGAGCUCUUCUUCUCUGUGGUGAGGAACUGGCAGGACUGCAAGGAGGAAGAGGACAAACAGGCCGUCCUUGGAGCUGUGGCUGCCAUGAUGACUGUCCUCCUGCAAGAGGAGCUGCCCCGAGAGCACGUCUGGGAGCAGUUCCUCUGGCUCGUGCACCCGUGUCAGGAAAUCCAAGACACCUGCAGGGUGGCCAAGGUGAGAUGUUGCGCAGGGCUCAGUGUGGAUGUGGCCCGUGUAAGUGCCACGAGG
rnacentral:lncRNA from 1 species